CGGCGUGCUUAACACAUGCAAGUCGAACGAUGAACCUCCUUCGGGAGGGGAUUAGUGGCGAACGGGUGAGUAACACGUGGGCAAUCUGCCCUUCACUCUGGGACAAGCCCUGGAAACGGGGUCUAAUACCGGAUAACACUGCGGAUCGCAUGGUCUGCGGUUGAAAGCUCCGGCGGUGAAGGAUGAGCCCGCGGCCUAUCAGCUAGUUGGUGGGGUGAUGGCCUACCAAGGCGACGACGGGUAGCCGGCCUGAGAGGGCGACCGGCCACACUGGGACUGAGACACGGCCCAGACUCCUACGGGAGGCAGCAGUGGGGAAUAUUGCACAAUGGGCGAAAGCCUGAUGCAGCGACGCCGCGUGAGGGAUGACGGCCUUCGGGUUGUAAACCUCUUUCAGCAGGGAAGAAGCGAAAGUGACGGUACCUGCAGAAGAAGCGCCGGCUAACUACGUGCCAGCAGCCGCGGUAAUACGUAGGGCGCAAGCGUUGUCCGGAAUUAUUGGGCGUAAAGAGCUCGUAGGCGGCUUGUCACGUCGGAUGUGAAAGCCCGGGGCUUAACCCCGGGUCUGCAUUCGAUACGGGCAGGCUAGAGUGUGGUAGG
rnacentral:rRNA from 1 species